UACGGAGGGGGCAAGCGUUGUUCGGAAUUACUGGGCGUAAAGGGCGCGCAGGCGGCUGCUCAAGUCAGGCGUGAAAGGCCUGGGCUCAACCCGGGAAUUGCGCUUGAGACUGGGCUGGCUUGAGUGCGGGAGAGGUGAGUGGAACUGCGAGUGUAGAGGUGAAAUUCGUAGAUAUUCGCAAGAACACCAGUGGCGAAGGCGGCUCACUGGCCCGAUACUGACGCUGAGGCACGAAAGCGUGGGGAGCAAACAGG
rnacentral:rRNA from 1 species